GGAGAGGUGACCGAGAGGCCGAUGGUGCUCGCCUGCUAAGCGAGUGUGGGGGUUAAACUCCACCGAGGGUUCAAAUCCCUCCUUCUCCGCCA
rnacentral:tRNA from 1 species